CCUGUAUCCUAAGGUCUCAGUAAAAAUGAGAUGAAGGAUUCCAUCACAAAGGCCUCAUUGCACCAUCUCAGAUGUACCAAUACAGCUUUGCAUCCUCUCACAGCUGUAAAUCUAGUAGUGAAUACAAUUGCAUGGCCUCCCUGGUGGUACAAGGGGUUAAGACGCAACCUAUGAAGCUGUCCGCAGCCUCUGCAGCACGAGUUCCAUCCCUGACCAGGGAGCAACCCACAUGGCGCAGCAGACCUCUCCUGACUCACCCGCUGCUCCCCUCAGCAGUGUACUUCAAUUUGCCUGUUCUGUUCCCCACUCUGUCUCUGGUGAAUCCACUAACUGCCAUACCUCUGGCCUGUACCCCAGCUCUUGUA